AUGGAACAACUUGACAUUUGGGCGUCCAUCUUGGCCGAUCCUCUUCCAAGCCAACGGCCGGAGAUUAAAGUUAACUCAACAUAUGUGGAUUACGGCACCAUGGACUUUCAAGCACUCUUGGAAGGACCCCAUGAUUUGGACAGAUGGCUGAAAGGUGCAUUCAUUCCUACUUAUAUAAAGGAGGCGAAUUUAACUCAUGAGAAUGAAUGCAAAUUUUAUUCACCAACUAGGGACCAUGGCAUGACAAUACAAACACCUAUGGCUGAGAAAGAGGAGGCCACUGCCACCACGACUCUCAAUGGCGGAGGAGGAGAUGAGAGAGGGAGGAGGGGCCAUGUACCCGCUGCCUUGUCACCGGAGAAGCAGAAGGCUUGCGGCCACCGCCACACCACCGGAGGAGGGGACCUGCGAUCUACUAGAUUACAUAGCAAAAAGUGGUUGGAGGCAUGGAAGUCGUGUGAGAAGUGCACGUGA
rnacentral:rRNA from 1 species